rnacentral:tRNA from 1 species
UCCCUGGUAGCUCACUUGGUAAAGAAUCUGCCUGCAAUGCUGGAGAUUCCAGUUCAAUUCCUGGCUAGGGAA